GAUGAAGAACGCAGCGAAAUGCGAUAAGUAGUGUGAAUUGCAGAAUUCAGUGAAUCAUCGAAUCUUUGAACGCACAUUGCGCCCCUUGGUAUUCCAUGGGGCAUGCCUGUUCGAGCGUCAUUUGUACCCUCAAGCUUUGCUUGGUGUUGGGCGUUUUGUCCCGCGUUGCGCGUGGACUCGCCUUAAAGCGAUUGGCAGCCGGCAUAUUUGGCCUUGGAGCGCAGCACAUUUUGCGCUUCUUGUCAUGAAUGCGGGCGUCCAUUAAGCCUAUAUAUUUUGCUCUUGACCUCGGAUCAGGUAGGGAUACCCGCUGAACUUAAGCAUAUCAAUAAGCGGAGGA
rnacentral:misc_RNA from 1 species